rnacentral:rRNA from 1 species
CCAGACUCCUACGGGAGGCAGCAGUGGGGAAUAUUGCACAAUGGGGGAAACCCUGAUGCAGCGACGCCGCGUGAGCGAUGAAGUAUUUCGGUAUGUAAAGCUCUAUCAGCAGGGAAGAAGAUGACGGUACCUGACUAAGAAGCCCCGGCUAACUACGUGCCAGCAGCCGCGGUAAUACGUAGGGGGCAAGCGUUAUCCGGAUUUACUGGGUGUAAAGGGAGCGUAGACGGCGAUGCAAGCCAGAUGUGAAAGCCCGGGGCGCAACCCCGGGACUGCAGUUGGAACUGUGUGGCUGGAGUGCAGGAGGGGCAGGCGGAAUUCCUGGUGUAGCGGUGAAAUGCGUAGAUAUCAGGAGGAACACCGGUGGCGAAGGCGGCCUGCUGGACUGCGACUGACGUUGAGGCCCGAAAGCGUGGGGAGCAAACAGGAUUAGAUACCCGUGUA